UACUCCCGAGAGACCGAUAGUGAACCAGUACCGUGAGGGAAAGGUGAAAAGCACUUCGAACAGAAGAGUGAAAUAGUCCCUGAAACCAUACGCCUACAAGCUGUCGGAGCCGCUUCGUGCGGUGACGGCGUGCCUUUUGCAUAAUGAGCCUACGAGUUACUCAUCACCAGCGAGGUUAAGUACUUCAGGUACGUAAGCCGAAGCGAAAGCGAGUCUGAAUAGGGCGUCAAGUUGGUGGUGGUAGACGCGAAACCUUAGUGAUCUACCCAUGGGCAGGGUGAAGGUUUGGUAACACAAACUGGAGGCCCGAACCGGUAAACGUUGAAAAGUUUUCGGAUGACCUGUGGGUAGGGGUGAAAGGCCAAUCAAACUGGGAAAUAGCUCGUACUCUCCGAAAUGCAUUUAGGUGCAGCCUCUGUUGUUUUGUUCUAGAGGUAGAGCUACUGAUUGGAUGCGAGGGCUUCACCGCCUAUCAAAUCCGGCCAAACUCCGAAUGCUAGAACAUGAAGACAGGGAGUGAGCCAGCGGGUGCUAAGGUCCGUUGACGAAAGAGGGAGAACUCAGACCAUCAGCUAAGGUCCCCAAUUAUAUGCUAAGUUGGAAUUAAAACGGGGUGGGACUGCUUAGACAGCUAGGAUGUUGGCUUGGAAGCAGCCAUUCAUUUAAAGAGUGCGUAACAGCUCACUAGUCGAGCGGUCCUGCAUGGAUAAUACGCGGGCAUAAGCAUAUAACCGAAGCUAUGGGAUUGUAGAUGAUACAAUCGGUAGGAGAGCAUUCCAUUCAGCAUAGAAGCAGUACCGUGAGGUAUUGUGGAGCGGAUGGAAAAGCAAAUGUAGGCAUAAGUAACGAUAAUGCGGGUGAGAACCCCGCACGCCGAAAGAUCAAGGAUUCCCCGGCAAUGUCAAUCAUCCGGGGGUAAGUCGGAUCCUAAGGGUAAGCCGAGUGGCGAUCCCGAUGGCAAACAGGUUAAUAUUCCUGUACUGAUCAUAACUGCGAUGCAGCGACGCAGAGGUGACACUGCUGCGUACUGACGGAAUAGUACGUUGAAACCCGUAUUCUUUGAUACCGGUAGUGAAGCACGCCGGUAGAGAUGAAAGGUGAUAGUACCGCAAUGCUUCGGUUGCGCGGAUAACGCAGGUAAGCUGACUGCCAAGAAAACCUGCUAAGCUUCAGGUAAUGAUCAUCCGUACUGUAAACGGACACACGUGAUCAGGUAGAAAAUACUAAGGCGCUCGAGAGAUUCAUGGUUAAGGAACUAGGCAAAAUGGUCCUGUAACUUCGGGAUAAAGGACGCUCUUGUGAAAGAGCCGCAGAUAAUAGGCCCAGGCGACUGUUUACCAAAAACACAUGGCUAUGCUAAUUCGCAAGAAGAUGUAUAUGGCCUGACACCUGCCCGGUGCCGGAAGGUUAAGAGGAGAGCUCAGAGGUAACUCGAAGGUUUGAAUUGAAGCCCCGGUAAACGGCGGCCGUAACUAUAACGGUCCUAAGGUAGCGAAAUUCCUUGUCGGGU
rnacentral:rRNA from 1 species